CUUCAUGAAGCCGGAAUUGCUAGUAAUGGCAGGUCAGCAUACUGCCGUGAAUACGUUCCCGGGCCUUGUACACACCGCCCGUCACACCAUGAGAGUUGGGAAUACCCGAAGCCUGUGAGCUAACAUUAAGAGGCAGCAGUCGAAGGUAGAAUCAAUGAUUGGGGUGAAGUCGUAACAAGGUACC
rnacentral:rRNA from 1 species